AUUUGUUGUCGAUGUUGCCACUAACCUGGAUAUUAUGGGAGUCAAUAGGUCGAGGUUUUAUUUUAUUUUUUGACCCAACUGAAGAACUUGUGCAAAAGAAACUCUAGAAACAUUAGAAGCCUUGUAUUUCUGGUUAUUUAAGCAGUCGCAGUCAUUGAAUUUGAUCUGUAACAUGUCCUUUUUGCUGCACACUGGUGAAUAGGUUACAAAGGAAAAACCUAUAAAAUCAUUGACAUUGUAGGACAAGAAGAGACAAGUGUAGGAGGAUUAACCUCCGGGAGAGCCAUUCAAGAUUUGCCGCACAAGGCAUUGGAACAUCUGUCCCAGCAAUCCUCUCAACAGGUGCAUCAAGAUAAUCCAAGUAUUCUUCAACAUCUCAUGCACUGAAGAAAUGAAUAUACUUAAUAAGUACGAAAGACGAAAAAGGGGACAAUCUCAAUGACUAAAGAGAGGUGCAGUAUCGUAAAAAGGUACCAUAUUUCUGCACCGAUACCAUGUUGGGCAAACCCUUCUUCGACAGUCACAAGCCUAUUGGUUUUUUUGACAGAAUCAUAUAUCGUCAAUCUAUCAAGAGGGCGGAUGGAGCGAAGAGUUAUCACCCGCAGAUAAAAAAAAUAUGAACUAAAAUAACAAAAAACUAUUUUUCUUUGUCAUCGUGUAUAAACAUUCUCCGAGUUACCUCAGUACUGAUUCCAUCCUUUGCGAGAAUCUCG
rnacentral:lncRNA from 1 species